rnacentral:rRNA from 1 species
GUUGUAUGGUUAAGUGACUAAGCGUACACGGUGGAUGCCUUGGCAGUCAGAGGCGAUGAAAGACGUAGUAACUUGCGAUAAGCCCAGAUUAGGUAGUAACAACCAUUUGAGUCUGGGAUUUCUGAAUGGGGAAACCCACGUGCAUAAGCACGUAUCCUUACCUGAAUACAUAGGGUAAGGAGGCGAACCGGGGGAACUGAAACAUCUAAGUACCCCGAGGAAAAGAAAUCAACCGAGAUUCCGAAAGUAGCGGCGAGCGAAAUUGGACUAGCCCUUAAGCUUUACACGCGUUAGACGAACGGUCUGGAAAGUCCGACGAUACAGGGUGAUAGUCCCGUAGUUGACGACGUGUGUUCAGUGAAAUCGAGUAGGGCGGGACACGUGAUAUCCUGUCUGAAUAUGGGGGGACCAUCCUCCAAGGCUAAAUACUACUGACUGACCGAUAGUGAACCAGUACCGUGAGGGAAAGGCGAAAAGAACCCCUGUGAGGGGAGUGAAAUAGAACCUGAAACCGUGUACGUACAAGCAGUAGGAGCAGGCUUUGUCCUGUGACUGCGUACCUUUUGUAUAAUGGGUCAGCGACUUAUAUUCAGUGGCAAGGUUAACCAUCUAGGGGAGCCGUAGGGAAACCGAGUCUUAACUGGGCGUUCAGUCUCUGGAUAUAGACCCGAAACCAGGUGAUCUAGCCAUGGGCAGGUUGAAGGUUGAGUAACAUCAACUGGAGGACCGAACCGACUAAUGUUGAAAAAUUAGCGGAUGACUUGUGGCUAGGGGUGAAAGGCCAAUCAAACCUGGAGAUAGCUGGUUCUCCCCGAAAGCUAUUUAGGUAGCGCCUCGGACGAAUACUACUGGGGGUAGAGCACUGUUAAGGCUAGGGGGUCAUCCCGACUUACCAACCCUUUGCAAACUCCGAAUACCAGUAAGUACUAUCCGGGAGACACACGGCGGGUGCUAACGUCCGUCGUGGAGAGGGAAACAACCCAGACCGCCAGCUAAGGUCCCAAAUUACUACUAAGUGGGAAACGAUGUGGGAAGGCUCAGACAGCCAGGAUGUUGGCUUAGAAGCAGCCAUCAUUUAAAGAAAGCGUAAUAGCUCACUGGUCGAGUCGGCCUGCGCGGAAGAUGUAACGGGGCUAAGUAGUAAACCGAAGCUGCGGCAAUAUACUUUUGUAUAUUGGGUAGGGGAGCGUUCUGUAAGCGGUUGAAGGUGUGUGGUAACGCAUGCUGGACGUAUCAGAAGUGCGAAUGCUGACAUGAGUAACGAUAAAGGGGGUGAAAAACCUCCUCGCCGGAAGACCAAGGGUUCCUGUCCAACGUUAAUCGGGGCAGGGUAAGUCGACCCCUAAGGCGAGGCCGAAAGGCGUAGUCGAUGGGAAACGGGUUAAUAUUCCCGUACUUCUUACAAUUGCGAUGGGGGGACGGAGAAGGCUAGGUGGGCCUGGCGACGGUUGUCCAGGUUCAAGUGCGUAGGCUUAAGAGUUAGGUAAAUCCGGCUCUUUCUAAGGCUGAGACACGACGUCGAGCACCUACGGGUGUGAAGUCAUUGAUGCCAUGCUUCCAGGAAAAGCCUCUAAGCUUCAGAUUGUAAGGAAUCGUACCCCAAACCGACACAGGUGGUCGGGUAGAGAAUACCAAGGCGCUUGAGAGAACUCGGGUGAAGGAACUAGGCAAAAUGGUACCGUAACUUCGGGAGAAGGUACGCUCUUGAUGGUGAAGUCCCUUGCGGAUGGAGCUGACGAGAGUCGCAGAUACCAGGUGGCUGCAACUGUUUAUUAAAAACACAGCACUGUGCAAAAUCGUAAGAUGACGUAUACGGUGUGACGCCUGCCCGGUGCCGGAAGGUUAAUUGAUGGGGUUAGACUUCGGUCGAAGCUCUUGAUCGAAGCCCCGGUAAACGGCGGCCGUAACUAUAACGGUCCUAAGGUAGCGAAAUUCCUUGUCGGGUAAGUUCCGACCUGCACGAAUGGCGUAAUGAUGGCCACGCUGUCUCCACCCGAGACUCAGUGAAAUUGAAAUCGCUGUGAAGAUGCAGUGUACCCGCGGCUAGACGGAAAGACCCCGUGAACCUUUACUACAGCUUGGCACUGAACAUUGACCCUACAUGUGUAGGAUAGGUGGGAGGCUUUGAAGCAUGUACGCCAGUAUGUGUGGAGCCGUCCUUGAAAUACCACCCUUGUAGUGUUGAUGUUCUAACGUCGACCCCUUAUCGGGGUUGCGGACAGUGCCUGGUGGGUAGUUUGACUGGGGCGGUCUCCUCCCAAAGAGUAACGGAGGAGCACGAAGGUGGGCUAAUCACGGUUGGACAUCGUGAGGUUAGUGCAAUGGCAUAAGCCCGCUUGACUGCGAGAAUGACAAUUCGAGCAGGUGCGAAAGCAGGUCAUAGUGAUCCGGUGGUUCUGAAUGGAAGGGCCAUCGCUCAACGGAUAAAAGGUACUCCGGGGAUAACAGGCUGAUACCGCCCAAGAGUUCAUAUCGACGGCGGUGUUUGGCACCUCGAUGUCGGCUCAUCACAUCCUGGGGCUGAAGUCGGUCCCAAGGGUAUGGCUGUUCGCCAUUUAAAGUGGUACGCGAGCUGGGUUUAGAACGUCGUGAGACAGUUCGGUCCCUAUCUGCCGUGGGCGUUGGAAGAUUGAAGGGGGCUGCUCCUAGUACGAGAGGACCGGAGUGGACGAACCUCUGGUGUUCGGGUUGUGUCGCCAGACGCAUUGCCCGGUAGCUAAGUUCGGAAUCGAUAACCGCUGAAAGCAUCUAAGCGGGAAGCGAGCCCUGAGAUGAGUCUUCCCUGAUACUUUAAGUAUCCUAAAGGGUUGUCGGAGACUACGACGUUGAUAGGUCAGGUGUGUAAGUGCUGUGAGGCAUUGAGCUAACUGAUACUAAUUGCCCGUGAGGCUUAACCAUACAACACCCAAGGGGUUU